AGUUAAAGAAAAUUAAUCUGUGUUGGCACCAACCAGCGUGAUGAUGUGAUUUUUGCCGGCCGCCCUUGGCAGCCCAGAGACAGAAUGGAGAAAACAGAUGGUUUUCUUAGCUCCUGCUCAUUCGCCUUCUUGUUUAAUCUGCCCAACAACCCUAGCCAACUGAGAUCUACAGAGGAGAAAACUGAGGCCCAGGAAGAGGAGACCACAUUCCCAGAUGUUGCAAUAAGAAGACAACAAAAAUCCAGACCAGCAGCAGUGCAACCUUCACAAUAUCCAGCAUCCAAUAAAAAAUUCCUAGACAGGAGAAGGAAUAGAAAAAUGUGUUCCAUAAGAACACAUGAGAAAAGUCAGUAAAUAAAUUUUAAAAAUAACAGAGAUUGUGGAACUAACAGGGUGACUCUGGAGCCAGGCAGGCUGGUUCAAAUCCCACCUCCACUACUGGCUGUGUGACCUGGGACAAGCUACUUAACCUCUCUGAGCCUUGAUUUCCUCAUCUGUAAAAUGGGAAUAAUAGUAUCUAUAAUUAUAUUGUACAGAUUAAAUGAAAAAGACAUAUAAAACCUUUAGGAUAGUUUCUGGCAUGUGGUAAACGCUAGUUAAGAAUUAGCCGUUGUUUUAUUUUGUCUCGGUCUGCCCUUGGACACCUGCAGCCGUUAGAAAGGCAGAUAUUAAAAAACACACACAAUGAUGUGACCCGAGAUUUGUUUUAAGGGCCCCACUAUG